rnacentral:rRNA from 1 species
ACUGCUCAGUAACACGUGGACAACCUACCCUUAGGCCUGGGAUAAACCUGGGAAACUGGGUAUAAUACCGGAUAGGUCUCGAAUGCUGGAAUGCAUCGAGGCCCAAAGCUCCAGCGCCUAAGGAUGGGUCUGCGGCCUAUCAGGGUAGUAGUGGGUGUAAUGUACCUACUAGCCUACGACGGGUACGGGUCGUGAGAGCGAGAGCCCGGAGAUGGAUUCUGAGACACGAAUCCAGGCCCUACGGGGUGCAGCAGGCGCGAAAACUUUACAAUGCUGGAAACAGCGAUAGGGGGACUUUGAGUGCCAGGAUACAAUUCUGGCUGUCGUCGUGCCUAAAAAGCACGGCAUAGCAAGGGCCGGGCAAGACCGGUGCCAGCCGCCGCGGUAACACCGGCGGCUCGAGUGGUAACCGCUAUUAUUGGGUCUAAAGGGUCUGUAGCCGGCUGGAUAAGUCUCUUGGGAAAUCCGGUAGCUUAACUAUCGGGCUUUCAGGAGAUACUGUCCGGCUCGAGACCGGGAGAGGUGAGAGGUACUUCAUGGGUAGGGGUGAAAUCUUGUAAUCCUUGAAGGACCACCAGUGGCGAAGGCGUCUCACCAGAACGGAUCUGACGGCAAGGGACGAAAGCUAGGGGCACGAACCGGAUUAGAUACCCGGGUAGUCCUAGCCGUAAACGAUACUCGCUAGGUGUCGGCCACGGUGCGACCGUGGUCGGUGCCGUAGGGAAGCCGUGAAGCGAGCCACCUGGGAAGUACGGCCGCAAGGCUGAAACUUAAAGGAAUUGGCGGGGGAGCA